UAGAGUUUGAUCAUGGCUCAGAUUGAACGCUGGCGGCAGGCCUAACACAUGCAAGUCGAGCGGCAGCGGGAAGAAGCUUGCUUCUUUGCCGGCGAGCGGCGGACGGGUGAGUAAUGUCUGGGGAUCUGCCCGAUGGAGGGGGAUAACUACUGGAAACGGUAGCUAAUACCUCAUAACGUCGCAAGACCAAAGUGGGGGACCUUCGGGCCUCACACCAUCGGAUGAACCCAGAUGGGAUUAGCUAGUAGGUGGGGUAAUGGCUCACCUAGGCGACGAUCCCUAGCUGGUCUGAGAGGAUGACCAGCCACACUGGAACUGAGACACGGUCCAGACUCCUACGGGAGGCAGCAGUGGGGAAUAUUGCACAAUGGGGGAAACCCUGAUGCAGCCAUGCCGCGUGUGUGAAGAAGGCCUUCGGGUUGUAAAGCACUUUCAGCGGGGAAGAAGGCGAUGGUGUUAAUAGCGCUAUCGAUUGACGUUACCCGCAGAAGAAGCGCCGGCUAACUCCGUGCCAGCAGCCGCGGUAAUACGGAGGGUGCGAGCGUUAAUCGGAAUUACUGGGCGUAAAGCGUACGCAGGCGGUCUGUUAAGUCAGAUGUGAAAUCCCCGGGCUCAACCUGGGAACUGCAUUUGAAACUGGCAGGCUAGAGUCUCGUAGAGGGGGGUAGAAUUCCAGGUGUAGCGGUGAAAUGCGUAGAGAUCUGGAGGAAUACCGGUGGCGAAGGCGGUCCCCUGGACGAAGACUGACGCUCAGGUACGAAAGCGUGGGGAGCAAACAGGAUUAGAUACCCUGGUAGUCCACGCUGUAAACGAUGUCGAUUUGAAGGUUGUGGCCUUGAGCCGUGGCUUUCGGAGCUAACGCGUUAAAUCGACCGCCUGGGGAGUACGGCCGCAAGGUUAAAACUCAAAUGAAUUGACGGGGGCCCGCACAAGCGGUGGAGCAUGUGGUUUAAUUUAUAGUGGCACACUGAUACUGGCCACCUGAUCGGAGGUGA
rnacentral:rRNA from 1 species